UACGUAGGGAGCAAGCGUUGUUCGGAUUUACUGGGCGUAAAGGGCGCGUAGGCGGCAAUUCAAGUCAUCUGUGAAAUCUCCGGGCUUAACUCGGAACGGUCAGAUGAUACUGUCUUGCUAGAGUGCAGAAGGGGCAAUCGGAAUUCUUGGUGUAGCGGUGAAAUGCGUAGAUAUCAAGAGGAACACCUGAGGUGAAGACGGGUUGCUGGGCUGACACUGACGCUGAGGCCCGAAAGCCAGGGGAGCGAACAGG
rnacentral:rRNA from 1 species